AUUGAACGCUGGCGGCAUGCUUUACACAUGCAAGUCGAACGGCAGCACGGGGGCAACCCUGGUGGCGAGUGGCGAACGGGUGAGUAAUAUAUCGGAACAUGUCCGGAAGUGGGGGAUAACGUAGCGAAAGUUACGCUAAUACCGCAUAUGCCCUGAGGGGGAAAGGGGGGGAUCGCAAGACCUCUCGCUUUCGGAGUGGCCGAUAUCAGAUUAGCUAGUUGGUGGGGUAAAGGCCUACCAAGGCAACGAUCUGUAGCUGGUCUGAGAGGACGACCAGCCACACUGGGACUGAGACGCGGCCCAGACUCCUACGGGAGGCAGCAGUGGGGAAUUUUGGACAAUGGGGGCAACCCUGAUCCAGCCAUGCCGCGUGAGCGAAGAAGGCCUUCGGGUUGUAAAGCUCUUUCGGACAGAAAGAAAUCGUGCAGAAUAAUACUCUGUAUGGAUGACGGUACUGUAAGAAGAAGCACCGGCUAACUACGUGCCAGCAGCCGCCGUAA
rnacentral:rRNA from 1 species